ACUCGCUGAUCGGCCCCAAAAAUCCCCAUCGUGUAACGUCGAGUUAAUAUUUUACCGCCUUGGGAUAUUCCAUUAACGCUGUACUUCAAAUACACUUCCACCUACACUGAACAAAAAUAUCAACUUUCCAUAAAUAGUCGAGUAAAGUUUGUGUUAGUGAGCAUUUUUCCCCUGUGGAGAUAAUCCAUCCCACCUCACAGGUGUGGCAUAUCAAGAUGCUGAUGAGACAGCAUGAUUAUUGCACGUGUGCGCCUUAGGCUAGGCCACAAUAAAAGGCCGCGCUGAAACGUGCAGUUUUAUCACACAGCACAAUGCCACAGAUGUCGCGAGUUCUGAAGGGAGCGUGCAAUUGGCAUGCUGACUGCAGGAAAGUCCACCGGAGCUGUUGACCCUGAAUUGAAUGUUCAUUUGUCUACCAUAAGCCGUCUCCAAAGGCGUUUCAGACAAUUUGGCAGUACAUCCAACCGGCCUCACAACCGCAGACCACGUGUAACCGCACCAGCCCGGGACCUCCGCAUCCAGCAUGUUGACCUCCAGUAUAUACGACAGCGUGUUCCAGUUCCUGCCAAUAUCCAGCAACUUCGCACCGCCAUUGAAGAGGGGUGGACCAACAUUCAACAUUCCAAUCAACAACCUGAUCAACUCUAUGCGAAGGUGAAAAACAUCCUGUACCACUGUGCAAAAGAGGCCGUGAGCUCCUUGAAAAGGAGCAUUUCUGAGGAGGAGGAGGAGGGUGAGAACUCGUAACAGCACCUCUGCCUUGUGCACACGUCCCAGCAACAGUCCGCUCUUCCCGUGAGGAGGACAGAGUCCCGCGAUUGCAGGAGGAGACGUUCGGAGUCGAGCAACUUAGGUGAUCCGGUCGACUCUGCGUUCGGCUAGCAUUUUAAGUGGCUGGCAAAAGGCAAACCCACACCUACCCCUGGAACCAUUGCGUGCCCAGAGGCGAUGCUCAAAAAAAGAGGCGGGCCUACUGGACAGACGGAUUAAACCUGCCACUCACUGUACUGUUGCAUUGAUUAUGAACACAGGAAAAACCGAAUGAUGGAAAAGGGAGGGCAGUGUGCUGCUCGGGAGCCUUAUCGUAGCCACUGACUUCUUAAGUGGGACUCUCACGUGAGCAGAAGUGCUGAUUUGGGCAGCAGGCCAGACUGGCGGAGCUGUGUCCUGAACUGUUGAACCACAGGUUAAAUCUGCAGCAAGAGCCAAUACAGUACGUCUUGGACUGAUUGGAUUUUCUUUUUUCUUUUUUGCUGAUUACAACAUCACCAGCAGCAAACAGUUUCAGGACCGUCAUUUCUGAUGGUGGGGGGUAACACAAAGCAAAAAACCAUUAGCUGCAUGAGUCAGCAGGCUCCUUGUUUGUUCUGUCACUUUGUUUUUCUCUGUGAAGAUGUAUUUAUUUGAUAGCUUUAUGUAAAUGUGAUGUUAAUGAGACAAAAAAAGCAAUUAUGUAAAUGUGACUGUACAGUUGUUUCCCUUUUCCCCCCUUUGUUUUGCUCUAAGUGGUUUUCAGUUGUUAUACGGUUCUACUGUGAUGGAGGACACACACAUGCACCAGCUAAUGCCUGUAACUUUGGGAAAUACUGAUGUCCUCAUGCCAUAAAUACAUUUUUUUAAGAUGAA